rnacentral:rRNA from 1 species
GAUGAACGCUAGCUACAGGCUUAACACAUGCAAGUCGAGGGGUAACGAGAGGAAAGCUUGCUUUCCUUGUCGACGACCGGCGCACGGGUGAGUAACGCGUAUCCAACCUGCCCCCAACUAGGGAAUAACCUUGCGAAAGUAAGACUAAUACCCUAUAAUUUCCUCAGAUGUCAUCUGACGAGGAAUAAAGAUUUAUCGGUUGUGGAUGGGGAUGCGUCUGAUUAGCUCGUUGGCGGGGUAACGGCCCACCAAGGCAACGAUCAGUAGGGGUUCUGAGAGGAAGGUCCCCCACAUUGGAACUGAGACACGGUCCAAACUCCUACGGGAGGCAGCAGUGAGGAAUAUUGGUCAAUGGGCGGAAGCUUGAACCAUCCAAGUAGCGUGCAGGAUGACGGCCCUAUGGGUUGUAAACUGCUUUUAUACAGGAAUAAAGUUAGCCACGUGUGGUUAUUUGUAGGUACUGUAUGAAUAAGGACCGGCUAAUUCCGUGCCAGCCGCCGCCGUAA